CCUACGGGUGGCAGCAGUGGGGAAUAUUGUACAAUGGGCGCAAGCCUGAUGCAGCCAUGCCGCGUGUGUGAAGAAGGCCUUCGGGUUGUAAAGCACUUUCAGCGGGGAGGAAGGCGGUGAGGUUAAUAACCUCGUCGAUUGACGUUACCCGCAGAAGAAGCACCGGCUAACUCCGUGCCAGCAGCCGCGGUAAUACGGAGGGUGCAAGCGUUAAUCGGAAUUACUGGGCGUAAAGCGCACGCAGGCGGUCUGUCAAGUCGGAUGUGAAAUCCCCGGGCUCAACCUGGGAACUGCAUUCGAAACUGGCAGGCUAGAGUCUUGUAGAGGGGGGUAGAAGUCCAGGUGUAGCGGUGAAAUGCGUAGAGAUCUGGAGGAAUACCGGUGGCGAAGGCGGCCCCCUGGACAAAGACUGACGCUCAGGUGCGAAAGCGUGGGGAGCAAACAGGAUUAGAUACCCGGGUAGUC
rnacentral:rRNA from 1 species